AGAAUUUUCCUGGGGAAGCUGUGCGCCCGAGCUGUGCUCGGCCUGGAGCAGGUGUGGAAUCCGCCCAUCUCUGCAUGCUUGCAGGCCAGAGGUGUGAUAGAGG